rnacentral:rRNA from 1 species
ACACUCCUGCGGGAGGCAGCAGUGGGGAAUUUUGGACAAUGGGCGAAAGCCUGAUCCAGCAAUGCCGCGUGUGUGAAGAAGGCCUUCGGGUUGUAAAGCACUUUUGUCCGGAAAGAAAUCCUUGGCUCUAAUACAGUCGGGGGAUGACGGUACCGGAAGAAUAAGCACCGGCUAACUACGUGCCCGCAGCCGCGGUAAUACGUAGGGUGCGAGCGUUAAUCGGAAUUACUGGGCGUAAAGCGUGCGCAGGCGGUUUGCUAAGACCGAUGUGAAAUCCCCGGGCUCAACCGGGGAACUGCAUUGGUGACUGGCAGGCUAGAGUAUGGCAGAGGGGGGUAGAAUUCCACGUGUAGCAGUGAAAUGCGUAGAGAUGUGGAGGAAUACCGAUGGCGAAGGCAGCCCCCUGGGGCAAUACUGACGCUCAUGCACGAAAGCGUGGGGAGCAAACAGGAUUAGAUACCCCUGUAGUCCCAUG